ACCGAACUCUUUAUAACAUUAUUUACAGAGAUUAUAUCAUUAUAUUAAAAUUAAUUAUAGUAUCAGCUGUGGUCAUAAUGGCACUGGAACUGAGCUAGCGGCUAAAGUAACCGCCAACAAGUUAGCGAUCUUUCCAUCAGGGAACUUCAACUUCAUGCACCGUCCAGGCAGAGCAACCAGAGGAUGUCCGACGGAAUAGUGUAAAAUGUGAUCCAGUUGUUUUUUUGUUACCUUAGAAUGAAACGUUUUUAUCGUCAUUGAGCGGGUCGUCUUCUACGGAGUCCGCCAUGUUGAACUAUCAUGUCUCUACAGUAGUCCAGAAUGGACAAACCAAACACUGACUCUCGAUAUAGACUUGCGUGUUUUUCGCGAGUUUUGCAGCCACCAUAGUUUCUCAUACACACUUCAAAGCCUGUUCUCAUUCCAAGUGUUGUUUAGUUUGUUGCAAUCUGAAAUGGCACUAAAUCUUACACACCGGCCACAAGAGUGCGAGCUGCAUGGCUAACUGAGAUAACAGAGGUGGCAGAGGUUAGUGGCAUCAAAUUGUGUUAAUUGCAGAUCACAACUGCCUCGGAAGUUUCUAAAGGAGAAACUAUGGUGGGCGUAAAGUGCGCAAAAAUACAAAGGCAAAGAUUCUAAUUUUCAGCUGAUUAUACACUAAUGAAAACAUACCUAUAAAUAUUAUAUUACAUUUCUGACAAUAAACCCUCCUCAGUGUUACACAAUGGACCUUUACAGACAUAAAAAUGCAAUUUUCUGAUGUUAAACUCAGACAAAAAUGAAAGGUUUUUGUACUUCGCCCCAAACAUCUCAGAAACUCAUUAUCUAAAGAAACAGUUAUUCCAGAUGAUAUUACUAGUCCAUGCAUUUGUUACUUUAAGGCUGGAUUACUGCAACUCUUUAUUAUCAGGUUGCCCCAAUAAGUCCAUCAAGAUGCUCCAAUUAAUUCAAAACGCUGCAGCACAAGUACUGACAGAAACUAGAAAAAGAGAUCACAUCUCUCCUGUACUAGCUUCUCUGCACUGGCUCCCUGUAAAAUUUAGAAUAGAGUUUAAAAUCCUCCUCCUCACCUACAAAGCUCUUCAUGGUCAGGCCCCUUCAUAUCUUAAAGAGCUCAUAGUACCCUAUUACCCCACUAGAACACUACGUUCUCUGAAUGCUGGGCUACUUGUGGUUCCUGUAGUCUCAAAAAGUAGAACAGGAGCCAGAGCCUUCAGUUACCAAGCUCCUCUCCUGUGGAACCAGCUUCCAGUUGUGGUUCAGGAGGCAGACACCCUCACCACAUUCAAGAGUAGGCUUAAGACAUUCCUCUUUGAUAAAGCUUAUAGUUAGGGCUGGAUCAGGUGAGUCCUGAACCAUCCCUUAGUUAUGCUGCUAUAGGCCAAGACUAUCGGGGGAUUUCCCAUGGUGCACUGAGCUCCUCUCUUCCUCUCUCUUUCUGCACUCAUUCAUGUCCCAUUAAUGCAUGUUACUAACUUCACUUCUUCCCCGGAGUUCUUGUGCUUUCUCGUCUCGCAGGUUCUUAUCGAUCCUGGUGGAGCCUCCUGCCAUGGUCCUGCUUGACUGCCAUUGCUAAUAUCACUGAUAUUAUUGUUAUUAU